rnacentral:rRNA from 1 species
GACGAACGCUGGCGGCGUGCUUAACACAUGCAAGUCGAACGGUAAGGCCCUUCGGGGUACACGAGUGGCGAACGGGUGAGUAACACGUGGGUGAUCUGCCCUGCACUUCGGGAUAAGCCUGGGAAACUGGGUAUAAUACCGGAUAGGACUCCUGGCUUCAUGGUUGGGGGUGGAAAGCUGUUGCGGUGUGGGAUGGGCCCGCGGCCUAUCAGCUUGUUGGUGGGGUAAUGGCCUACCAAGGCGACGACGGGUAGCCGGCCUGAGAGGGUGACCGGUCACACUGGGACUGAGAUACGGCCCAGACUCCUACGGGAGGCAGCAGUGGGGAAUAUUGCACAAUGGGCGCAAGCCUGAUGCAGCGACGCCGCGUGAGGGAUGACGGCCUUCGGGUUGUAAACCUCUUUCAGCUAUGACGAAGCGCAAGUGACGGUAGUAGCAGAAGAAGGACCGGCCAACUACGUGCCAGCCGCCGCGGUAA